rnacentral:rRNA from 1 species
GUGUCAGCAGCCGCGGUAAUACAGAGGUCUCAAGCGUUGUUCGGAAUUACUGGGCGUAAAGGGUGCGCAGGCCGCGCGGGCAGUCAAAUGUGUAAUCCAGGGGCUCAACCCCUGAACUGCGCUUGAUACUUCCGCGCUCGAGCUUUGGAGAGGAGUCUGGAAUUCUCGGUGUAGCAGUGAAAUGCGUGGAUAUCGAGAAGAACACUUAGGGCGUAGGCAAGACUCUGGACAAAUGCUGACGCUCAUGCACGAAGGCUAGGGUAGCGAACGGGAUUAGAAACCCCAGUAGUCC